rnacentral:rRNA from 1 species
GCUUUCGUUGGUAGUGUAUUGGACUACCAUGGCUCUCACGGGUAACAGGGAAUUAGGGUUCGAUUCUGGAGAAGGAGCCUGAGAAACGGCUACUACAUCUACGGAAGGCAGCAGGCGCGUAAAUUACCCAAUCCUGACUCAGGGAGGUGGUGACAAGAUAUAACAACGUGAUUUUUAAUCUCGAUUGUAGUGAGGGUUUUCUAAAUAGAACCUAUAGUACGAUUAGAGGGCAAG